rnacentral:misc_RNA from 1 species
GAUGAAGAACGUAGCGAAAUGCGAUACUUGGUGUGAAUUGAAGAAUCCCGUGAACCAUCGAGUCUUUGAACGCAAGUUGCGCCCGAAGCCAUCAGGUUGAGGGCACGUCUGCCUGGGCGUCACAUAUCGUUGCCCAAUGCCUAUUGCAGUGCAAUAGGAAUUUCUAGGGCGAAUGAUGGCUUCCCGUGAGCGUUGUUGCCUCGCGGUUGGUUGAAAAUCGAGUCCUUGGUAGGGUGUGCCAUGGUAGAUGGUGGUCGAGUUAGAACGAUACCGAUCAUGUGCAUGCUCCCCAAAAUAUGGCCUCUAUGACCCACACGCGUCUUUUGACGCUCAUGACGAGACCUCAGGUCAGGCGGGGCUACCCGCUGAAUUUAAGCAUAUCAAUAAGCGGAGGA